rnacentral:rRNA from 1 species
AGUCGAACGAGAGAAUUGCUAGCUUGCUAAUAAUUCUCUAGUGGCGCACGGGCGAUUAACACGUGAGUAACCUGCCCCCGAGAGCGGGAUAGCCCUGGGAAACUGGGAUUAAUACCGCAUAGUAUCGAAAGAUUAAAGCAGCAAUGCGCUUGGGGAUGGGCUCGCGGCCUAUUAGUUAGUUGGUGAGGUAACGGCUCACCAAGGCGAUGACGGGUAGCCGGUCUGAGAGGAUGUCCGGCCACACUGGAACUGAGACACGGUCCAGACACCUACGGGUGGCAGCAGUCGAGAAUCAUUCACAAUGGGGGAAACCCUGAUGGUGCGACGCCGCGUGGGGGAAUGAAGGUCUUCGGAUUGUAAACCCCUGUCAUGUGGGAGCAAAUUAAAAAGAUAGUACCACAAGAGGAAGAGACGGCUAACUCUGUGCCAGCAGCCGCGGUAAUACAGAGGUCUCAAGCGUUGUUCGGAAUCACUGGGCGUAAAGCGUGCGUAGGCUGUUUCGUAAGUCGUGUGUGAAAGGCGCGGGCUCAACCCGCGGACGGCACAUGAUACUGCGAGACUAGAGUAAUGGAGGGGGAACCGGAAUUCUCGGUGUAGCAGUGAAAUGCGUAGAUAUCGAGAGGAACACUCGUGGCGAAGGCGGGUUCCUGGACAUUAACUGACGCUGAGGCACGAAGGCCAGGGGAGCGAAAGGGAUUAGAUACCCCUGUAGUCCUGGCAGUAAACGGUGCACGCUUGGUGUGCGGGGAAUCGACCCCCUGCGUGC